rnacentral:lncRNA from 1 species
GAUUAUGAAGUUCUGAAUUUGAAGAAGAACACCUAUAGUAACAGUUAUAUCACUAUAGGCCCUUUAGUGACAGAUUUGAAUUAUUUUAAAUUUUUCAAUUUCUGGAAAUUGCGAAAUGAUUAAAAAUAAGAUGCCUGAUAUUUACAGAUGUUGAGGUAUAGAAUAAGAGUCUUAGACUCAGUAUUUACCCGAUAAUGCUGUCGGUACGCCGACAAAUGUCAGACCCUAUAAUAGAAAGAAAAGGCUACUGUAAGAGCAUGGAUGAG